AAAGAAAUUCGAAGCAAGCAAGUUAUUCCACACACUGGUGGCUCCAAAGUUAAUCUUAGAAGAAGAAAUGAGUUGUUGCUAGAAACACGGAAGGUACCAAGUCAUGGACAAUUAUAUAUUGAAACUCAUAAAAGGAAAGAUGGAUCAUUUGUAAAUGAUGCAGCAAAGACUAUAGUGGUAAAUUUUUCUUUAGAAACAUUGAUUUCAAGGAUUGUGUUUAAUCUUAAAACUUUUUUAUAUUUGAUAUUGUUACAUGUUUGUAAGAACAAAUUCAAGUAGGUUUGACUCAAAGCAUAGUUGAUGAAUAUGAAGUUUCUCCUCUAGAUGUUGUUGGUAGAGUGCUAGGGCCAGAGCACUCUAGGAGAGUACGAUGCAUGGGAUUGGGUGUUGUUCCUUCUAAUACAUUUAAGAAUACAAGACUUUGUGUUUCUAGCUUGAGCUCUUCUUCAUCUGGUGUUGCCUUUCCAUCUUUAAACCAAUGGCAAGAGAAAUACAACAAUUUAGAAUCAGCUUUUAAGGCCUACAUGAAAGAAGGAUCCCUGAAAAAUUAGCUAGUUAUUUCACUCCUGAAACACAUCCAAUCGAUGCUUCAAGUGUUCCUAAUACACCUUUGGAUGCAAGAGGAUCAUUUGGUGCUAGCAACCCUUAGUUUGCAUAUAAAGUAUUUUGGAUUUAAAGUUUAGUAUGAGGCUAAUUUGACAAUGUUAUGGAUUUUAUGUUGUACUUGGAUUUAUAAUAGAAGUUUGAAUUAUAAAUCUUUGAACUA